AGGAACGUGAAGUGAGGCGGCCAUCUCUGUCGGCGCCGGAAGUAUUAAGGAGGUCCAUUGGGAGGUGGCUGCUGAGUUUGCUGCAUUGUGUGUUUGUUUGUUUGAGAGCGGUCCAGGAAUCUCCUAGAUGGAAUCCUGACAAUGGACAAGCAUUUACACAUGAAAGGAAAGGAUGGAGAGAAGGAGCGAGAAGGAGGGAGAGAAGGAGCAGAGGGAGGUGGAGAGUGCUCUACCAUUCCUCUCUGUUACCAUGGGGAUCAACUUGAUGCCACUCCAGGCUUGCCAUUGGCUGGAGAGGGUUCCAUUUGAUUUUGACUUUCCACGCUUUCUAAGGGAAGGAUGGACAGACUACUUCAACUCUCUCAGACGCCCCCCGUGGGAAUCAAACCCUGGCGUUGCACACACCAUGCUGGCGUUGCAAACACCAUGCUCUACCAACUGAGCCACAGGGAAGGCCAACUGAGCCACAGAUGGACUCCAAUCUCAAGAAUGAUCAAUGGAAACAGGAGGCACCUGAGCAAAUGUUUUUGUCUCAUAGCAAAGGGGCUGAAUACUUAUGUGAAUAAGGUAUUUCUGUUUCAAUUUUUUUAUACAUUUGCAAAAAAAAAUACAAAAAAACAUUUUUGCUUUCUCGUUAUGGGGUAUUGAUGGGGGUGGUAUUAAAUAUUUAAUCCAUUUUAGAAUAAGGCUGUAAUGUAACAAAAUGUGGAAAAAGUCAAGUGGUCUGAAUUCUUUCCAAAGGCACUGUAUAUACAUUAUUUAUUAUUAUUAUAAUUUAUAGACAGAUAGAAAAGCUCAUCCAUGUGAAGGAAGGGCAAUGUGCAGUAGAGCUCAGCCACACAUUCAAACCUGCUAACAGCCACACAUUCAAACAUGCUAACAGCCACACAUUCAAACCUGCUAACAGCCACACAUUCAAACCUGCUAACAGCCACACAUUCAAACCUGCUAACAGCCACACAUUCAAACCUGCUAACAGCCACACAUUCAAACCUGCUAACAGCCACACAUUCAAACCUGCUAACAGCCACACAUUCAAACCUGCUAACAGCCACACAUUCAAUUGGAUCUGAAAAGAGGCAGCCACAUGUUCAGCUUCUACAGGACAUUGAAUAGCCAUCAGUAACUUAGUAAAAUCUUGACCUAUUUGCUGAACUUGCGUCAGUGGGAAUAGCUGAUGUUGUAUUCAGCAGUCAGUCAGUGUGAGUGAGACAGCUUACAGACACUGUCUGCGCCCUCUAUGCCUCUUCACUGUGUCCAACACCCCAACAUGACCUAGAGAAAGAAACACAUGUAAAUCACUAACGCAUCAUACACAAAGGGCAUACAGACUGUGUGAAUGACUGUGAAUUACAGAGUUAUGUCUUUGUCGUAGGGAUAUUCAGAAUAUUUCUUCUCAUAAAAUCUUCUCAUCACCUUUCUUCCUCUCUCGUUCUCUCUUAAUAACCUGUAGAUAGUCCAGUUCAUCAACACAUACUAUUGAAUGGAA
rnacentral:lncRNA from 1 species